rnacentral:piRNA from 1 species
ACGAUACAAAAUGCAUUCCACAUUGG